UGGGGAAUAUUGGACAAUGGGCGCAAGCCUGAUCCAGCCAUGCCGCGUGAGUGAUGAAGGCCCUAGGGUUGUAAAGCUCUUUCGCCGGUGAAGAUAAUGACUGUAGCCGGUAAAGAAGCCCCGGCUAACUUCGUGCCAGCAGCCGCGGUAAUACGAAGGGGGCUAGCGUUGUUCGGAAUUACUGGGCGUAAAGCGCGCGUAGGCGGACAUUUAAGUCAGGGGUGAAAUCCCGGAGCUCAACUCCGGAACUGCCUUUGAUACUGGAUGUCUUGAGUGUGAGAGAGGUAAGUGGAAUUGCGAGUGUAGAGGUGAAAUUCGUAGAUAUUCGCAGGAACACCAGUGGCGAAAGCGGCUUACUGGCUCACAACUGACGCUGAGGUGCGAAAGCGUGGGGAGCAAACAGG
rnacentral:rRNA from 1 species